GAUGAAGAACGUAGCAAAAUGCGAUAAGUAAUGUGAAUUGCAGAAUUCAGUGAAUCAUCGAAUCUUUGAACGCACAUUGCGCCCGCCAGUAUUCUGGCGGGCAUGCCUGUUCGAGCGUCAUUUCAACCCUCAAGCUCAGCUUGGUGUUGGGACUCGCGGUAACCCGCGUUCCCCAAAUCGAUUGGCGGUCACGUCGAGCUUCCAUAGCGUAGUAAUCAUACACCUCGUUACUGGUAAUCGUCGCGGCCACGCCGUAAAACCCCAACUUCUGAAUGUUGACCUCGGAUCAGGUAGGAAUACCCGCUGAACUUAAGCAUAUCAAUAAGCGGAGGU
rnacentral:misc_RNA from 1 species